rnacentral:rRNA from 1 species
GCGUGAAGAAUAAGGUCCUCUGGAUUGUAAACUUCUUUUAUUUGGGAAGAAAUGUGAGAAUUCUUUUUCACUUGACGGUACCAGAUGAAUAAGCACCGGCUAACUCCGUGCCAGCAGCCGCGGUAAUACGGAGGGUGCAAGCGUUAUCCGGAUUUACUGGGUUUAAAGGGUGCGCAGGCGGAUAUGUAAGUCAGUGGUGAAAUCUCUGGGCUUAACCCGGAAAUUGCCAUUGAUACUAUAUAUCUUGAAUGCUGUGGGGGUAAGCGGAAUAUGUCAUGUAGCGGUGAAAUGCUUAGAGAUGACAUAGAACACCUAUUGCGAAGGCAGCUUACUACGCAGAGAUUGACGCUCAUGCACGAAAGCGUGGGGAUCAAACAGGAUUAGAUACCCUGGUAGUCCACGCCCUAAACGAUGAUUACUCGACAUACGCGAUACACUGUGUGUGUCUGAGCGAAAGCAUUAAGUAAUCCACCUGGGAAGUACGAUCGCAAGAUUGAAACUCAUAGAAAUUGACGGA